CGGUUGAAUGCCUAGCCUCUGUAAAUCUCCUUCGACGAGUCGAGUAGUUUGGGAAUGCUGCUCUAAAUGGGAGGUAAAUUUCUUCUAAAGCUAAAUAUUGGCCAGAGACCGAUAGCGCACAAGUAGAGUGAUCGAAAGAUGAAAAGCACUUUGAAAAGAGGGUUAAAUAGCACGUGAAAUUGUUGAAAGGGAAGGAUUUGUGACCAGACUUUUUCUGGGCGGAUCAUCCGGGGUUCUCUCCGGUGCACUUCGCCCAGUAAAGGCCAGCAUCGGUUUUCGGCGCGGGAUAAAAGCGGUAGGAAUGUGGCUCUCUACGGGGAGUGUUAUAGCCUAUCGUAUAAUACCGCGCUGAGGACCGAGGUUCGCGGAUGCUG
rnacentral:rRNA from 1 species